ACUCGACUUAAGUGCCAGUUCUCGAGUGAGCCUUCCCUGCCCUCCCAGACUAGACCGUGAACCCCGAUUUCAUGUACUUAUCACAAGAGUUACGAUGUUCCGCGGGGUCGGUGUCCUGGGGACCCCGUGCUCCAGACUUCCCCUGUCAUGCCGUGUGCAUGAAUCACACACUUUUCUUCCUGGAUUGUCCUGAGUAUUGAGGACUGAUGGAAAGUUACAGCGUUUUCUCUCUGGCUGUCUACGAAAGACAUCCCAAAGUCUGCGUGAUUACGUCGAGUCAUGCAAGGAUUCUGGUGGGGUGUCCGGCCUAUCAGUGUUUGGUGCGUAUUUGACGAAUUAAUGAACGAGCGAGCACAUUCACGCAAGAUGGGAGGACUCUAGAAAGCUCCUUCCUCGCACAGACAUGCCCAGGUGGUAGGAGCGGUGAGCCCGGCCCGUGCCUGGGGAAGGAGUCUGCGGUGGUGACGAAGGAGGGGGAAAUACAGUAGGUGGGGGCGGGCGGGGCGAAGCCGUGAAAAUUAGGAGUGGGUGUAAGCGCCAGGGCGCAGCGUGCAGCCAGCCACAGAAAUCGGGCCUCUGCUGGCCCCUGUGCAUAAUUAGUAGCCAGAAAUAGCACCUGAUCGGUGGCCCGGAACGAGCAAGUGUGUUUCCGUGCGGGUCCUCAUGUCUCCACAGCACUGCCCUGCUUUCUUCUUCCUUUCAGACAACAACUAUUUGCAUCCCAAGUGAUGGGUGUCCCAUUCUUUCCAAGCACCAUUCUCCACAGGGAUAGAUGGAAACAGCUGGAACGGAGGGGGGAGACUUUGGCUGUAAACCUAGACAGAGGUUCUCUUCUUCUCUCUGAGCCUCAGUUUCCCCAUCCACAAGACGGGAACCACGUUUGGGCUUCCCCGAGGCUCGACCGAUGGUGUGGACGGCAGCGCCUUGGCAGGUGGGAAGAGGAUACCAGAGGUGCCUGGAGCCCCCUUUCCAGGAAGAAAAGGGGACAUCUUCGGUGGGGCAGCCAAUGCAACUUCCACGGUAUUUUUCGGCCGGCUGGGAGCCCACGCUUGUGUAAUGCCGUCAGGACAGCAUGCAGAGAAUGUCACUCACUGCAGGACCCCACUGACACCAGGGCAGUCACGAUAUAGCCAAACCCCAUGCCAAGGGACACCAAAGACGAAAGCCUCCGUGGGCCACAUCAUUCGCCUGCAACAUCCCUCAAAGUGUAGUGGCUUGUAUACCUGGUCACUGUUAGUAGUGGGCAUAGAGAGAUGACAGACACAGAUUCUUGUCCUCCGGCCAUAAAACCAGCUGCCUAGAAUUUGGCGAAGUGACCAGUUUUGCUGAAAUAAAAACCUCGGUUUUACGUGGAAGUGAUUCA
rnacentral:lncRNA from 1 species